rnacentral:rRNA from 1 species
UAUGACUAGUUGCCAGCAUUUAGUUGGGCACUCUAGUAAGACUGCCGGUGACAAACCGGAGGAAGGUGGGGAUGACGUCAAAUCAUCAUGCCCCUUAUGACCUGGGCUACACACGUGCUACAAUGGAUGGUACAACGAGUUGCGAGACCGCGAGGUCAAGCUAAUCUCUUAAAGCCAUUCUCAGUUCGGACUGUAGGCUGCAACUCGCCUACACGAAGUCGGAAUCG